rnacentral:rRNA from 1 species
CCCCAGCGCCACAAGUGGGAACCACGUUUAUUGGGUCUAAAGCAUCCGUAGCCUGUUUGGCAAAUGCCCUGUGAAAUCGUUCCGCUCAACGGAACGGCGUGCAGGGUAGACUACCAAACUUGGGACCAGGGGAAGCAGGCGGUAUUCCUGAGGGAGCGGUAAAAUGUGAUAAUCUCAGGAGGACCACCGAUGGCGAAGGCAGCCUGCUAAAAUGGAUCCGACGGUGAGGGAUGAAAGCUAGGGGAGCGAUCCG